UCACUAACCUAGAAGUGCAGCAACCUAUCUAUCAAAGCAACGACAUCAAGAAACCUAAUCCGUCAUAAUAUAUACUACGUCCUAAAUCACAGUAUUCCGGUAUGUAGAAUGUUCUUCUCCAAAAUUUGGGCGAUAACUGUUGCCUCUCCUGUUUCUGUCUCUAUAGCUUCUCAACACCAACAAUGGCCAAGAACAAGUACCACAAUCAUCAAGAAUACCUAAUAGUGCUGAAAUUACUUCAAGUCACGACGCAGGUAACUAGGAUCGACAGUCCAGCACACUGUUGAUCCAGUAAGCAAUUCAGAGUCAGUUGCAGGUAGAGGAAGAUAAGAUUAGAGAUAGAGAGGAGUUCAAGAACAAGAGGCACAAGACAGGGAAUGAAACCGGGCAGCACAAUAAUAAUGCCAACUGGUCAUCUUUCCAACAGGAACAAAAUGGACCAGCUCCACACUACUACAAAAGGUCCCUUUAGCGGCUGUAAAAUAUGGCUUUAGCGGCAAUAGCAUAUGCCGCGAUAUUCUAUACCGGCCAAUGAACUUUAGCCAGCAAUGUUGGGUUCGGCAAAGGCUUUUGCAGCCAUUGUGGGAAAUGCUGGUAAAGGGUAGCAUGAAUUGCCGAUACAAAUCAUUAGCUUUUACUGCAAUUAAUUGUUGUAAUUAUGUUGGCUACUAAAGGUAAUUCAUACGGUCUAACAAUUGACUUUUAGCGUCCAUUGAUUUAAUCGAUAAAUAUGAAUAACGUUCAUUAUUUUAGUCUAUAAA